GUGAGGAAUUUUCCGCAAUGGGCGAAAGCCUGACGGAGCAAUGCCGCGUGAAGGAUGAAGGCCUAUGGGUUGUAAACUUCUUUUCUCAGAAAAGAAUUAUGACGGUAUCUGAGGAAUAAGCAUCGGCUAACUCUGUGCCAGCAGCCGCGGCAAGACAGAGGAUGCAAGCGUUAUCCGGAAUGAUUGGGCGUAAAGCGUCUGUAGGUUGUUUAAAAAGUAUUCUGUCAAAGAUUAGGGCUUAACCCUAGAUAGGCAGAAUAAACUUUUAAGCUAGAGUUUGGCAGAGGCAGAGGGAAUUCCCGGUGGAGCGGUGAAAUGCGUAGAUAUCGGGAGGAACACCAAAGGCGAAGGCACUCUGCUGGGCCAAUACUAACACUGAGAGACGAAAGCGAGGGGAGCAAAUGGGAUUAGAUACCCUUGUAGUCC
rnacentral:rRNA from 1 species